GGAUUAGAUACCCUGGUAGUCCACGCAGUAAACGAUGUGCACUAGAUGUUGGUGGUAAUUGACCCCUUCAGUGUCGUAGCUAACGCAUUAAGUGCACCGCCUGGGGAGUACGGCCGCAAGGCUAAAACUCAAAGGAAUUGACGGGGGCCCGCACAAGCGGUGGAGCAUGUGGUUUAAUUCGAUGCAACGCGAAGAACCUUACCUGGGCAAGACAGCCCGUGCUAUCUAUGGAAACAUAGAGUUUCUCUUCGGAGAACACGGUGCCAGGUGCUGCAUGGCUGUCGUCAGCUCGUGCCG
rnacentral:rRNA from 1 species